UGUUACCUACCGCUCAACACCUUCCUCCUGCGGCCACUGCACCGGCUCAUGCACUACAAGCAGGUCCUGGAGCGGCUGUGCAAACACCACCCGCCGAGCCACGCCGACUUCAGGGACUGCCGAGGUGAGUGCUGGGAGCCUGCGCCACCUGGUGCCCAUGCCACAGUUCAGGCCGGGUGCUCCCAGACUGAGCCCAGCCAGGGAGGGGCUCCCCGGGGAGAGAGGUCAGCUGAUGCUGGGUCCCAGGUUUUCAUCAGGGUGGGCGCUGGUUUUUAUUCCUGCUCUGGUGUUUGGUUACAUCUUGAUUUUUUUUUUUUUUUUUUUUUUUUGAGACUGAGUCUCACUCUGUCGCCCAGGCUGGAGUGCAAUGGCGCGAUCUCGGCUCACUGCAACCUCCACCUCCCGGGUUCAAGCGAUUCUCCUGCCUCAGCCUCUGGAGCAGCUAGGAUUACAGGUGCCCGCCACCACGCCUGGCUAAUUUUUGUAUUUUUAGUAGAGACGGGGUUUCACUGUGUUGGUCAGGCUGGUCUCGAACUCCUGACCUUGUGAUCCGCCCGCCUUGGCCUCCCAAAGUGCUGGGAUUACAGGCGUGAGCCACAGUGCCCAGCCACAUCUUGAUCUUUCCAUAAAGAAGGUGCUAAUGAUCGUCAGGACCCCUUUCUUCCUUUCCCUCUUGCAUGCAUUUUCUCCUUUGGUCCCUGGGUGGUUUUGUGCAAAGAUCACUAGAGAAGCUCCGCUUACAGUUAGCCCCCACCCAGGAAGCUUGCUUCUACCCACGUGACGGAAACUCAUCCCUCUACCAUGGCCACAGAACAUAGCUUGUAACAAAUCCUGUUGCUCAUUGCUGCCGGUCGUUUGUAAUGUGCCCAUCAGCAUAAUGAGCAUCUCUCCUGUAUUAACUCUUCCCAAGCCUCAGGCACAGGUGAGUUCGUCUUACAUAUGGGGACUACCGAGACUAGAGAGGUUAAGGAACCUGCCCAGAGUCACACAGCUUGGAGGGAAAUGAUUUGGAACCUAAAUCUAGAACCCAUGGUCACAACCAUCCUGCCCUUCUAUCUCAUGGACAGUCCUAGCCGCUCAUACUUGCUCAGCCCCAGGCCAGGUGCUGCGUACCUGAUACUGUACCAACGUUCACACCAUUACUCCUUUAAGGACCCCUUUAGAUCAAUUGCAUUAUCCCAUUUUACAGAGAGGGACGCUGAGACUCAGGGGAAGGGACUUGCAGGGUCACUCAGAGGUCAGAGCCGCAUUCCAGACCUGCUUUUCCCACGGGGCCAUGCGUGCUCUUCUGAACGGAAGUCGUUCUGUCUGGUGUCACAGUUGGUCUGUGGGUGUCUGCCCUCCCUGGCCUAGCAUGCGGAGUUGGCCCUGCGUAGGUGGCUCCCGCACAGGUGGCCCCCGCACAGGUGGCCCCCGCACAGGUGGCCCGAAUCCACACACCCACUAGGAGGGCAAGGCCCUUAUUCCUUGCCUGAAAUGUCAGAAACACCUCCCAACUCUUUGGCCAAACGUGUCAUCUUUUUAAAAAUCCAUCCUCUUACACCUUGGCUUAAAACCUGGGUGACGGCUGACUGCCUCAGGCUAAAAUCGGAAGUCUUCAUGACCUGGCCUGGCCAGCUCUCACACCCCAGCUGCGCAGCGAGCACCUGUACUGGGCAUGUGAGGGAGAAGGAACAGUGCGGCCCCUGACCUCACAGGACCCACUGGAGGGUCUGCAGGCAGGUACCUGGGUGCUGGAGGGCCUGCAGGCAGGUACCUGGGCAGUGGCAACCCUGCACUAGGGCCGUGAGAGAGAAGUGGACGGUGCAGUUGGAGCCGGGGCGUUAGGGGGUGUUGGGGGGAUCUCAAAGGGAAAUGGUGUCUAAGUUCAGAACUAACAUGUAAAUAGGAGUUUUCCUGGGUGAAAGGAGGGUGUGGAGAAUAGAGUUAGAAACAGCACAAGCUCAGGUUCAGAGGGGACAGAGACCGGAACAUUGCCAAAAGCGUGCAGGGCACAGGGAGAGCCACAAAGUGAGGCUGCGACAGAAAGCAGGGGCCACAUCCCACUGCACCCCAUGGACCCUGCAAAGCCGUAACCUAAGGGCAGAGGCCAAACAGGAAGUGUUUUAAGGAGGGAAACAGUGAUACCAGGCUUGUUCUAGAAAAAUCGUUGUUAAUAUCUAGAAUAUAUGGCGGACUCCUACAAAUUAGUUGUUAAAAAAGGUAACCCAAUAGGUAGAAGACUUGGCAAAGUAAUUGAGACAGUGACAGUUCACAGAAGGGGAACACAAGUGCCUCCUGACAUGGUUUAUCAUCGACCAUCUGUCUUUAAAACAAACCAUGCUGGCCAGGGGUGGUGGCUCACACCUGUAAUCCCAGCACUUUGGGAGGCCAAGAUGGGAGGAUCACUGGAGGCUGGGAGUUCAAGAGCAGCCUGGGCAACAUAGUGAGACCUUGUCUCUACAAAAAAUUUAAAAAUUACGAGCAUGCACCUAUAGUGCCAGCUACUCAGGAGGCUGAGGUGGGAGGAUCGCAUGAGCCCAGGAGUUGGAGGCUGCAGUGAGCUAUGAUUGCACCACAGCCCAGGUGACAGACCUAGACCCAGUCUCUAAAAACAAAACCAUGCUGCCUCUUGCCUCCACACCUUGGUGCAUUCCGUUCCUUCUGCCUAGAGUCCUGGCCACCACCUCCUUGGCCUUUCCUGGCCAGCUCUCUCUCGUCCUUUAAGCCUCAGCUUGUGCCUGGCACCUGAUGUUGAGCUGACCUCCUGUCCGCCUUGUCCUGUCACACUGGCAUUGCCUGUGUGUUGGCCGAGCCCGGAGGAAAGGACCCAGGGCCCCUCCUGGCUCUGAGGACUCCUCAGAUCUGUCGCCCAUGGGGGUGAGAGUGGUGUGUGGUUUUGCAGGCGCUGUCCUUGGCGGACUCAUCCAGUUCCACUCUGCUAUUUCUCUAAACAGUACCCAAUGGAGAUAGGCUAUCCUUGAUGAUUGAGGAAGAGAGUGCUAGCUAGCUUAAAGCAUGAAGUGGCAGCACUGUAGGAGCCUAGAUUUCCAGAGCUAGAGGGACACUGAGUGCCAAGGGCUGUUCCCAGCACGCCCCUGCCCAUGAGCACCGGGGGCCAGGGUGCCAUCAUUCCAUCAUUUUCCUCUCAGAGCUCCCCACUACCCCCCAGCCCUGCCACUGAGCACUGGGUGCCAAGUAAAUGUUUAUUGGACCAAACUGGGUGGUCAUGUCUGAAAAUCGAGCAAGGCCUGAGAUUUGUCACUAUGGCUGAGACCGCAUUCUCUGAUAAGCCUGGGAGAAUUUAACUCGCAUCCUUGGGGGGAAAAACAAGAAAACUAAAUGCUUCCCUUCCAACACUGAAAUGCUGGGGGAAAGCGGUGAAAGAGGUAUUUAGUGUUCUGAAGACUGAAGUUCAGUCAACAAGUAUUUCUUGCUUUUCUUGACCAAACUACCCAAGUGCUCAGCCGCUGGGGACUUGAGUGCCACCCAAACUUGUCAGCCACUGGGGACUUGCGUGCCACACAAGCUUGUAUUAAUCAGGCACUAGCUCCUUUUAAAUAUUGGAUGCCCACCAGUAUAGGGGAGCUGUGCCUCUAUCGAAAAAUAAAGGCCUGAUGUGGUGGCUCAUGCCUGUAAUCCCAGCACUUUGGGCGGCCAAGGCGUGUGGAUCGCCUGAGGUCAGGAGUUCGAGACCAGCCUAACCAACAUGGUGAAACCUUGUCUCUACUGAAAAUACAAAAUUAGCCAGGCGUGGUGGCACGCACCUGUAAUCCCAGCUACUCGGGAGGCUGAGGCAGGACAAUCACUUGAACCUGGGGGCAGAGGUUGCAGUGAGCUGAGAUUAUGCCAUUGCACUCCAGCCUGGGCAACAAGAGCAAAACUCUGUCUCAAAC
rnacentral:sRNA from 1 species